UUGUUAGCAAUAAUAAAAAAUCCUGAUUUAGAUAAAAUGGAUUCAAAUACAGUUUUUGAAACAAAACGAAUGUGAUUUGAAGAUCCCUAGGAAGAUCAAAUUCCUAGCUUACAUUUGCAUGGUGAGUUCAACAAGUAUUUGUUAUUAGAGAACAAGUAACACAGUUAGUGGUGUAGGGAAGCAAACGAAUGUAACACCAAGACCAAUUGAAAGUCCUCAACAAGUAGAGAUGCACACAUGUUUCAAUCAUUUGAGAUACCCUUUUGUAGAAGUAUUUGGAAGAUAACUAUUAAUAAUUUCAUUUGUAAAGAUACGAUUUGUAAAAAAGUAUAUACAAAGUGGUUUUGCUGGUAUUAAAUAAAUAAAUAAAAAUAC
rnacentral:lncRNA from 1 species